UACGGAGGAUCCGAGCGUUAUCCGGAUUUAUUGGGUUUAAAGGGUGCGCAGGCGGGAGAUUAAGUCGGCGGUGAAAUUUUGCAGCUUAACUGUAAAAGUGCCUUCGAAACUGGUUUCCUUGAGUGUAGAUGAAGUAGGCGGAAUUUGUGGUGUAGCGGUGAAAUGCUUAGAUAUCACGAGGAACUCCGAUUGCGCAGGCAGCUUACUAAACUACUACUGACGCUCAGGCACGAAGGCGUGGGGAUCAAACAGGAUUAGAUACCCUGGUAGUCCCU
rnacentral:rRNA from 1 species